rnacentral:rRNA from 1 species
CGUGUAGGCGGUUGGUCAAGUCGGAUGUGAAAGCCUGGGGCUCAGCCCCAGAAGUGCAUCCGAAACUAGCCAGCUAGAGCGCGAUAGAGGAGGGUGGAAUUCCUGGUGUAGCGGUGAAAUGCGUAGAUAUCAGGAGGAACACCGGCGGCGAAGGCGGCCCUCUGGAUCGUUGCUGACGCUGAGACGCGAAAGCGUGGGGAGCAAACAGGAUUAGAUACCCUGGUAGUCCACGCCUUAAACGAUGGGUACUAGGUGUUCGGGGUGUUGACCCCCUGAGUGCCGCAGUUAACGCAUUAAGUACCCCGCCUGGGGACUACGGCCGCAAGGUUAAA